GGAUGAACGCUAGCUACAGGCUUAACACAUGCAAGUCGAGGGGCAGCAUGGUCUUAGCUUGCUAAGGCCGAUGGCGACCGGCGCACGGGUGAGUAACACGUAUCCAACCUGCCGUCUACUCUUGGACAGCCUUCUGAAAGGAAGAUUAAUACAAGAUGGCAUCAUGAGUCCGCAUGUUCACAUGAUUAAAGGUAUUCCGGUAGACGAUGGGGAUGCGUUCCAUUAGAUAGUAGGCGGGGUAACGGCCCACCUAGUCUUCGAUGGAUAGGGGUUCUGAGAGGAAGGUCCCCCACAUUGGAACUGAGACACGGUCCAAACUCCUACGGGAGGCAGCAGUGAGGAAUAUUGGUCAAUGGGCGCAGGCCUGAACCAGCCAAGUAGCGUGAAGGAUGACUGCCCUAUGGGUUGUAAACUUCUUUUAUAAAGGAAUAAAGUCGGGUAUGUAUACCCGUUUGCAUGUACUUUAUGAAUAAGAAUCGGCUAACUCCGUG
rnacentral:rRNA from 1 species